rnacentral:pre_miRNA from 15 species
AGACACAGACAGACAGACAGUGCAGUCACCCAUAAAGUAGAAAGCACUACUAACAGCAAUGUAGGGUGUAGUGUUUCCUACUUUAUGGAUGAGUGUACUGUGGGCUUCGGAGACACACC